GGUUAAUACACGACUCAAGCUUAAGACCAAGCCCAAAAUACAGUCCAAUCAAGUAGAAGCCUAUUUCUACCCAAAUACAAAGCUUAAUUCCAAUACAGAGCCCAAAGCUCAUAACCCAAAUAAGCCAAACCCUACCAGAGGCUUCAAAAUAGGAAAACAAAACUAGCACUACUGCUGGUGCUUGCUUGUGGUCAACAGAUGCCAGGAAGAAGACCAAAGGCACCAUUUUGAAACACUUAGAGUAACAUAUCAAGCCAACCAAACAGAGCAAGUUCCUUGACUUAACUAUCAAUGAAACCACAAGAGGGAAGAUUGCUGCAACCUCACCAUUAGCAACUGAAGGAAGAAGGAGAACAAAGUGAUGGCAGAGCCCCUACAAGCUUCUCAAUCUCUUAUAGCCAUAGGGGGUAGCCAUAAUAAGUAGGCCAGCUCUUUCACCCUAGGGAUACUAUCCCUCCUCAACCAGAGUAAAGGAAUACUGCAGUUAUCGGAAAAAGAAACUAGAAAGCAACCCUAGAGAAGAAGGAAAAACACAGAGAAAUUUCUCUCUCUAAACCUAGAGAGAGAGAGAGAGA
rnacentral:misc_RNA from 1 species